rnacentral:rRNA from 1 species
AGAGUUUGAUCCUGGCUCAGGAUGAACGCUGACAGAAUGCUUAACACAUGCAAGUCAACUUGAACUUCGGUUUGGGUGGCGGACGGGUGAGUAACGCGUAAAGAACUUGCCUCACAGUUAGGGACAACAUUUGGAAACGAAUGCUAAUACCUGAUAUUAUGAUUUUAGGGCAUCCUAGAAUUAUGAAAGCUAUAUGCGCUGUGAGAGAGCUUUGCGUCCCAUUAGCUAGUUGGAGAGGUAACGGCUCACCAAGGCGAUGAUGGGUAGCCGGCCUGAGAGGGUGAACGGCCACAAGGGGACUGAGACACGGCCCUUACUCCUACGGGAGGCAGCAGUGGGGAAUAUUGGACAAUGGACCAAGAGUCUGAUCCAGCAAUUCUGUGUGCACGAUGAAGUUUUUCGGAAUGUAAAGUGCUUUCAGUUGGGAAGAAAAAAAUGACGGUACCAACAGAAGAAGUGACGGCUAAAUACGUGCCAGCAGCCGCGGUAAUACGUAUGUCACAAGCGUUAUCCGGAUUUAUUGGGCGUAAAGCGCGUCUAGGUGGUUAUGUAAGUCUGAUGUGAAAAUGCAGGGCUCAACUCUGUAUUGCGUUGGAAACUGUGUAACUAGAGUACUGGAGAGGUAAGCGGAACUACAAGUGUAGAGGUGAAAUUCGUAGAUAUUUGUAGGAAUGCCGAUGGGGAAGCCAGCUUACUGGACAGAUACUGACGCUAAAGCGCGAAAGCGUGGGUAGCAAACAGGAUUAGAUACCCUGGUAGUCCACGCCGUAAACGAUGAUUACUAGGUGUUGGGGGUCGAACCUCAGCGCCCAAGCAAACGCGAU